GUUCUGGCCUGAGAAGUUUCUGGAAGCAAACUGGAGGCCUGAGUGAAGCCAUCCUGUUCUGAUCCCUGACUCGGAAAAGCUGGCAGGACGAGAUAUUCCCAGGGCACAGCAGUGUAGGUGAGGCUGGAAAACUUAGCUUUCCCUGAUCACGGUGUUAAUUACAGCAAUGCUCUAAUUUUAAGUCAAAAGAGAGUGGGAAAAUUUAAACUCAACCAAGGAAGCAUGAAGCCCUUUUCAUUUUACAUGAUGGUAUGUCACAGAUGCAUUACUAAUGGCUUGGAGCUCGUUCUGAGUAUAAUUCACUGGACCCAAAGUCAAUUAACCUCAUUGUGACUUUUCAAGAAUGAGAAGUUAUUACUCCACAGAAUGGGGUCACUGUCACCUAUGCCCUGAGGCCUACAUACAGGCCCAUAUAAAGAUCUCCACUGUAAUAGGAGAGAGUCUGAUUGGGAUAGUCUCUGUGUGUCCACCUGUGCCUAUCCUUGGCUCUUAGGGAAGAACUGGCUGGACCUAUGCCUUCCUGUGCUAGAAUAAAUACUGGGGCUGGCCUCAAACUUGGGGAAUGGCCUCAGCCUCCUGAGUAGUUGGUAUUAUAGGCAUGCACCACUGUAGAAUUCUGCAUUUAAAGAGUUUGAUUUACUUGCUUCACCAGACUAAAUAAUUUAUGGGAAGAUAAGUUUCUUGUCUCUCCAGGGUGCAGCUCAGUGCCUGCCAUGUGACCGCUGCUCAGGAAACAUCAGCUGAUAUCAGGAUCUCCUGCACAUUCCAUAAUGUCCCUCCAUCCCUGCUCCCCCCACUCCUGGGUUCAGAAUGACAGGAAGUGAAAUUUUGCAAACUCUGACCAUUGGGCCCUGCGUGACAGUGAGCAUCUAUCAACUGCUCAUCCAGCAAGCUCUCCUGCCCCCUCCAGCUUCUCUGUCCUCCCAUCCCAACAUGCCAGAACUUCUGCUGUCUCCCUGUUCAUCGGCCAAUAAGUUAACAGAAGGAAUAAAGUAAGCAAGAAUCUCUAUUACUAGAGGAUGGUAUCUACAUUAGAAAACUUGGAGCCUUAAGAACGGCAAUAACUAAAUCAUCCUGGGCAAACUAAUCAGCCUCGUGAAGACUCAAUUUCCUCAUCAAUAAAAUUGAAGCUUAAAACAAUAUUUAAUUCCUGGGGUUGUUGAACUGCUUCAUAAAACCAAACAUGUCAUCCUGAUAUCAUAUGAUUAUUGAUACAACUAACAGCACAUAGAGGGAAACAUGUCAUAGUGGUUGAAAAUACUGGCUUUACAGCUCACCAUAGCAGGGUUGAAGCAGUAAUUCAGGUAUGAGCAACUGUGUAGCCUUGAACAGCUGUAUCCUUUUUUAAGCCUCAGUUCAGUUAUAUAGACAGUGGAGAUAAUUUCAUGGAGCUUCUUAAGGACUACCUGAGGGUCAACAAUUAAAGAAUCACAUAAAAUCAAAUAACUAAAUGAAAGUACAUGAAGUUGUCGUGACACAGCAAGCACUCAGUAAAUCCUUGAUAUUAUUAGAUAUGUUAACAACCAGGUCCAACCUGGUGAAUUUUUUUCUUUGGCUUCCUUUUCCCUGGAUGGAAUCAUCUGAGGUCUUUCAUCUGUACCAAAUGACACUUGAAUCUUCACUUCUCUAAGUUUUUUUUUUUUGAUACUCUCAGAACUUUUAGAAACUAUUUAUAGCAAGCAGUCUCUAAAAUAAUCCAGUUUAAAGGUCAAGCAGAUGAUGUGUAUUUAAUGCUUCACUAAAAAGUCCAAAAGUC
rnacentral:lncRNA from 1 species